UGGGGCCCAUCGGGGUGGAAACUCCUUACCGAACGAUAUUGAAAUGGUGCAGUGUCCACACAGAUUGUCUGAUGAAAAAGUAACGAGCAGAGAAACCUUUAUAGGCUUGUAGCUCAGGUGGUUAGAGCGCACCCCUGAUAAGGGUGAGGUCGGUGGUUCAAGUCCACUCAGGCCUACCAAUUCCCUUGCAUGCUGCGUUGUCGCCACGCUCGUUUGCACCAGCAAACGUCGCAUGACUCCGCCUUGCCUGAAAGCGAAUUGGCUCACUCAUCAACUGAUGAGUAAAUAAGUAAAGGUCUCUGCAAGACUGUAUGGGGCUAUAGCUCAGCUGGGAGAGCGCCUGCCUUGCACGCAGGAGGUCAGCGGUUCGAUCCCGCUUAGCUCCACCAUAUCGGUCCUGUAUUUAUAAUACUUCAGAGUAUAUUGGCGACAGUAUGCUGCGAAGUAUUUUGCUCUUUAACAAUCUGGAACAAGCUGAAAAUUGAAAUGAUGAAUAAUCGAAAGAUUAUUCACGAGUCUCUCAAAAGCGCACAGCCGAUGAUGGAAACAUCUUCGGGUUGUGAGGUUAAGUGACUAAGCCGUACACAGUGGAUGCCUUGGCA
rnacentral:misc_RNA from 1 species